rnacentral:rRNA from 1 species
GAUGAACGCUGGCGGCGUGCCUAAUACAUGCAAGUCGAGCGAACAGACGAGGAGCUUGCUCCUCUGACGUUAGCGGCGGACGGGUGAGUAACACGUGGAUAACCUACCUAUAAGACUGGGAUAACUUCGGGAAACCGGAGCUAAUACCGGAUAAUAUAUUGAACCGCAUGGUUCAAUAGUGAAAGACGGUUUUGCUGUCACUUAUAGAUGGUUCCGCGCCGCAUUAGCUAGUUGGUAAGGUAACGGCUUACCAAGGCAACGAUGCGUAGCCGACCUGAGAGGGUGAUCGGCCACACUGGAACUGAGACACGGUCCAGACUCCUACGGGAGGCAGCAGUAGGGAAUCGUCCGCAAUGGGCGAAAGCCUGACGGAGCAACGCCGCGUGAGUGAUGAAGGUCUUCGGAUCGUAAAACUCUGUUAUUAGGGAAGAACAAAUGUGUAAGUAACUAUGCACGUCUUGACGGUACCGAAUCAGAAAGCCACGGCUAACUACGUG